AGCAGCCGCGGUAAUUCCAGCUCCAAUAGCGUAUAUUAAAGUUGCUGCAGUUAAAAAGCUCGUAGUUGAAUUUCGGGACUGAUAUGUCGGUCGUGCCUCGGUACGUACUGGUAUUUUUGGUUUCUCCCUUCUGACGAACCUUGAUGUCAUUAAUUUGGUGUCUUGGGAAAUCAGGACUGUUACUUUGAAAAAUUAGAGUGUUUAAAGCAGGCUCACGCUUGAAUACAUUAGCAUGGAAUAAUGAAAUAGGACGUUUGAACCUAUUUUGUUGGUUUCUAGGAUCGACGUAAUGAUUAAUAGGGAUAGUUGGGGGCAUUAGUAUUCAAUUGUCAGAGGUGAAAUUCUUGGAUUUAUUGAAGACUAACUACUGUGAAAGCAUUUUGCCAAGGAUGUUUUCAUUAAUCAAGAACGAAAGUUAGGGGAUCGAGACGAUCAGAUACCGUCGUAGUCUUAACCAUAAACUAUGCCGAACUAGGGAUCGGAUGAUGUUAAUUUUUUAAUGACUCAUUCGGCGCCUUACGGGAAACC
rnacentral:rRNA from 1 species